GCACCUGAAGCUUAGCCAAGCUGUUGUUUUAAUAGAGCAAUAAAAAUGAAUUAUGACUAACUGCCUCCUAGCUUAAUGGUUUUAGACGGGGAUCCCCAGCCUGAACAAAUACGUAAGGAGAUUUUUAUUUGUGCAUGUGUUCCUGCAAUUGAUCUCUUUGAUGACAUUCUCAUUCACAGAAAGCAUUUGAUUUAUGUGUUUAGGAAGAAUUGCAUCCAGU
rnacentral:lncRNA from 1 species